rnacentral:lncRNA from 1 species
CUUGCUUCUGUAUCUAUGAUAAGUUAGUUAAUAGGACCAUAAAGUGAGUAAAUGUCUUCAGUAAUGUUGUUAUGGGACUCCACCUUUACGAUCAGAUCAAAGUCUAUAAGGAAGUAAAGCCAUGACCAAAAUAUACGGUGGUAGACCUAGUUAGUUUGGAGAAUGUUUAGUACCACAAACGGAACCAAAAGAUAUUAUUUUGACAGAAACAUAAAGCGGUUAGUUUUCUGCUGGAUACCAGGGACACCGUGUGGCAGGUGUGAGGAUUGCAUUUCUUAUUUUCGAUCAAGACGUGGUGGAACGGGUGAACUCGCACAUGAUCUGAAGUUCCUGAAAAUCAUCAACAUGACUACGGAGACCGAAUUCUUUGCUGGUAUUCCCAAGAUUCCAUAUGUGCCAAAUGCUGGAGCUGGCGACGUCUUGUGUUUCAAACACUACAACGCAGAAGAAGUGUUAAUGGGCAGAAAGAUGGAGGACUGGCUGAGAUUCUCAGUCUGCUACUGGCACUCCUUCUGUGGGACAGGUGCUGACCCUUUCGGGCUCCAGACACUACACAGACCCUGGAAUGAAGGAGCUACCCCCAUGGAAUGUGCCAAGAAGAGACUCCAUGCAGCCUUUGAGUUCUUCAACAAACUUGGUGUGAGUGUUCUUCUUCAUAGACACCGUAGCAACCAUUUAACCCGGGUGCCGACGUGGCAGGCUUCUGGGCCCCGGCAUGCCGGUCAACCUGCAGUCUGCCAACCUCAGUAA